rnacentral:rRNA from 1 species
AGUGAACGCUGGCGGUAGGCCUAACACAUGCAAGUUGAACGGCAGCACAGGAGAGCUUGCUCUCUAGGUGGCGAGUGGCGGACGGGUGAGGAAUACAUCGGAAUCUGCCCAGUCGUGGGGGAUAACGUAGGGAAACUUACGCUAAUACCGCAUACGACCUUCGGGUGAAAGAGGGGGAUCGCAAGACCUCUCGCGAUUGGAUGAGCCGAUGUCGGAUUAGCUAGUUAGCGGGGUAAUGGCCCACCAAGGCGACGAUCCGUAGCUGGUCUGAGAGGAUGAUCAGCCACACUGGAACUGAGACACGGUCCAGACUCCUACGGGAGGCAGCAGUGGGGAAUAUUGGACAAUGGGCGCAAGCCUGAUCCAGCCAUACCGCGUGGGUGAAGAAGGCCUUCGGGUUGUAAAGCCCUUUUGUUGGGAAAGAAAUCUUUCAGGCUAAUACCCUGGGAGGAUGACGGUACCCAAAGAAUAAGCACCGGCUAACUUCGUG